AAAUUAUUAAUAUAUGAUAAUAAGAAAGUUGAAUGAACAGUGAUAAAAGGGUAUAGAAUGAAUUUCACAUUUCACAGUAUCAUCAAACACGCGUCACCUCAUAUGCUUCUCACCGUACAUUAUCCAUUCAUCUUCACCAAACCUAAUUUUACCAUUGAAGGGAGAAAAACCAGAAAAUCAGAGUGAACCGGAGCCACUUGCGGAAAACGACGGUGGUACCGGGGUUUGCGGCCACCGCAGGCGGUGGUCAACAGUCGCAUUGGCUAGGGUUGCGGUUGCCGUUUGAGGCAGAAACCGAUGGUGACGACGGCUAGGGUAUCACCACAGUGAUGAAGAUGGCUUCAAGAAGCUCCAGUUGUGACUGGUCUCUGUUUAACUCUGAACUCUAGUGCACAUUCUAAUUUUGCAACUCUUGAUUCUGACGACUAUGGCCACUGUUGGAGGUAUAAGUGACCCCAAAGGAGUUCACUUCACUGUCGGCGCAUUUCCCUGCGCCCCGUUUGGUUCCGAUCCGUGCCGCCAGCGAUCAAGGAUUGUAGAUGAAAAGACUAUUUCUCUUUCCAUUCGGAUUUGGAUUAGCGGAAGAUAGGUUAAGGUUCUUGAAAUUGGAUCUACAAACUAAAACCUAUUACAGUUCUGUGUUUAAUGUCUCUGGGUGACCGGACAAUCUUGCAAGUAUUUAAAUAUAUGAGAAAUGUAUGUUGAAGGAGCUCAAGAUGCCGGCUUAGGGUUACAAAAGAUUGAUGUUGAGAGCAUGAGGUACCAUUUCUUUGUAAACAUAGUGUUAUUUGUGAGUUUUUUUUAAUGAGAAGCAUGUGCUUUGUUACCAUCAUUGCAACCAUGGUAUCCGGCCAGUGAACCUUCAUGUUAAUAGAUCUGCACAUCGGUCUCGUCAUGAUAUGCUUCCUCUAUGCGUCAAAAUCGAUUUUCUCAAUAUGAAUUCCAGCGGUCAGGCCAGCUCCUAGGUAUGUUAGCCCAAGGAUGGUUUGUACUUGUGUGUUUACUGGACGCGUGGCAGGUUUUUAACAGCCCCAUGUGGCCUCAAGGAUGUAUAUCAGGUGUUGGGUUAUUCAUAUAAACACAAGAUAAAGAAGAGAAAGUGAGAGAAUAAAAAAUAUAAAAUUAAGAGAAAGAAUCCGGCCGACUGUUUUACAGCAACGACUAACAACGCCUCUGAACGACGACGACGGCUAGGGUUACCGGGAUGUCCAGAGGAGGUGAAGGUGUUUCGCAGAGGGGGUUUGGUUCAACAUGGCAUCGACGACAACGGAGUUUAGGGUUCCGACGACCAUUUUGUUAGAACGGAGACAACAGUGCCAGUUUAAGCGACGACCAACCCUCCGACGAAGUUCAGGUACAAGCUUAUCUUUAUGGUGGAUACUUGGAAGAUAUUGGUACAAUUCAGGCCUUUUAUAAUGCAAAAUUAGGAAUUACAAAAAGCCAAUGCUUAUACUUGCUUCCUUCCAGGAUUAUCGGUGGAGGGUGUCGGAAUAAGGCAGGCGAUGGAAGGUAUACAUGUGAAGGCAAUAGCGAUACGAAAAAGCUAGGUAUCCGGAUGCAAGAAAUGGAAAUGAAGAAAACAACUUUUGUGAUCUAUGUAUAAGCGAAAUACUAUAUGAAAACCUAUGUGCUUCUCUUAAAUGUAAAACAUGUCAACAUCCUUUUGUAUCAACUUUAUUAGUGCAAGUAAAAUUUCAAACUGAGAACGAUU